UCCGUCAUUAUUACUCCCAAUCCUUGUCAUUAUGGUGCUAUGUUCCGCAUUUGGAUGCUCUAAUCAGAACAAUGGGAAGAGGGAAAAGCUCUAUGAUGGAUUGGGAGCCCACAGAUCACUCGAGAUUGUGCCAGUCUUGGUCCUUGUCUUCACGUUUUUCAGACCACCUCCAGAAAUUCCCGUAUCGGAGCCUUAUGUCCAAAUUGGCGAGAUGGAAGUACUACACUGCCCUAGCGGCCUGUUUUGUUUUAUUCGCAAUUGUCUUCGUGGGCAACCCUGUUGAAGACUCACUCCUUGAGUAAGAAUAUAAUGAGAAGCUAACAGUCAGGGCACUAGUCGUUCCUCAAUAAAAAGAACGAAUUACAGUUACAA